AACGAACGCUGGCGGCAUGCCUAACACAUGCAAGUCGAACGAGACCUUCGGGUCUAGUGGCGCACGGGUGCGUAACGCGUGGGAACCUGCCCUUAGGUUCGGAAUAACUCCCCGAAAGGGGUGCUAAUACCGGAUAAUGUCUUCGGACCAAAGAUUUAUCGCCUUUGGAUGGGCCCGCGUUGGAUUAGCUAGUUGGUAGGGUAAAAGUCUACCAAGGCGACGAUCCAUAGCUGGUCUGAGAGGAUGAUCAGCCACACUGGGACUGAGACACGGCCCAGACUCCUACGGGAGGCAGCAGUGGGGAAUAUUGGACAAUGGGCGAAAGCCUGAUUCAGCAAUGCCGCGUGAGUGAUGAAGGCCUUAGGGUUGUAAAGCUCUUUUACCCGGGAUGAUAAUGACAGUACCGGGAGAAUAAGCUCCGGCUAACUCCGUG
rnacentral:rRNA from 1 species